UACGUAGGGCGCAAGCGUUGUCCGGAAUUAUUGGGCGUAAAGAGCUCGUAGGCGGCUUGUCACGUCGGAUGUGAAAGCCCGGGGCUUAACCCCGGGUCUGCAUUCGAUACGGGCUAGCUAGAGUGUGGUAGGGGAGAUCGGAAUUCCUGGUGUAGCGGUGAAAUGCGCAGAUAUCAGGAGGAACACCGGUGGCGAAGGCGGAUCUCUGGGCCAUUACUGACGCUGAGGAGCGAAAGUGUGGGGAGCGAACAGG
rnacentral:rRNA from 1 species